GGCUCGGUCGCCCGGCGGGGACGCUGCCGCGCUCUACCCUCCCUCCCCGCAGCGGGCGGGGCCGUGGGCGCCCGUCCCCCGCCCCGGCCCAGCCGCCGGGCCCUCAGACCCUCCUGCCGACAACAGGCGCCCGCGGCCCGCGCCCCGCAGCCGCCCGCGGCCCCGGGGGAGCCCGUUCCCCUCCGCCGCGGGGUGCCCCGCUCCGGGAUGUUCUCCAGGAAGGGCCACGCCGAUGUCAGGAAAUCCACCCAGAAGGCGCUGGACCCCAAGCGGGACGUGCUCACCCGCCUCAAGCACCUGCGGGCACUGCUGGAUAAUGUGGAUGGAAGUGACCUGAAGCAAUUUUUUGAGAGCAAUUAUUCUCAGAUUUAUUUUAUAUUCUAUGAAAACUUCAUAACACUGGAAAAUAGCUUGAAACAAAAAGGGAAUAAAUCACAAAGGGAGGAGCUGGACUCCAUUCUCUUUCUUUUUGAAAAAAUAUUGCAGCUACUACCUGAGAGGAUUUUUUAUCGAUGGCAUUUUCGCAGUAUAGGGUCAAUUCUGAAGAAACUUUUGCACACUGGAAAUUCUCUCAAGAUAAGAUGUGAAGGAAUCCGACUGUUUCUCCUCUGGCUUCAAGCACUUCAGACUAACUGUGCAGAGGAACAGAUAUUAAUAUUUGCAUGCCUUGUGCCUGGUUUUCCACCCAUUAUGUCCUCACGAGGUCCCUGUACACUAGAUAACCUCAUUAGUCCUCCUAAUUCACCAGACGCUAAGAUUUUUCCAGAAGAAAUAACCCCACUUUUGCCAGCUGUCUCUGGAGAGAAGAUUGCUGAAGACCAAACCUGCUAUUUUCUUCAGCUACUGUUAAAAUAUAUGGUAAUUCAGGCUGCAAGCUUAGAGUGGAAGAACAAGGAGAACCAAGACACUGGGUUUAAGUUUCUCUUUACCUUGUUUAGAAAAUACUAUCUUCCUCACGUAUUUCCAUCUUUUACAAAGCUAACCAACCUCUACAAACCUGUUCUUGAUAUUCCUGAUGUAAGACCAAGACCAGUGUAUAUUACUGCAACCCGAAACAAUGAAAGUGUCUAUAGCACAAAAAUCCCAUACAUGGCAGCUCGAGUUGUUUUUAUUAAGUGGCUCGUUACCUUCUUUCUUGAAAAGAAAUAUUUAACUGCUGUUCAGAAUACAAAAAAUGGAGGAGAAAUGCUCCCUAAAAUUAUUCAGACUGUUGGUGUUGUGAACCAAGACAAAAAUGCAGAGCUGGAAACCAGUAUGCCUUACACAAGCGAGCAGGAGAGAAGCCAUUCCAACAGCAGCACCUUGUCUGACAGAAGGCUCAGCAGCUCCAGCCUCUGCAGCGUCGAUGAGCAGCACCGCACUGUCUACGAGAUGGUGCAGAGGAUCCUCCUGUCCACUCGAGGAUAUGUUAACUUUGUUAAUGAGGUGUUUCGACAGGCUUUUUUAUUGCCACCUUCUGAUAUAUCUGCAACACGAAAAGUGGUUAAGGUAUAUCGGAAGUGGAUAUUGCAAGAGAAACCUGUGUUCAUGGAGGAGCCAGACAAGAAGGAAGACAGUCAGGAUGCUGUUGUCAACUUAGAGGAUUCAUCAGUGCAAAUGGAUGGUAAACAUCUUUCCUCUGACCAUUCAGGACAUAAGCGCUCCUCCAGCUGGGGAAGAACGUACUCCUUCACCAGUGCUGUUAACAGAGGAUGUAUAUUGGAAGAUGAAGAUAAAAAUGUUAAAGCUGGUGCUCAAGCAGCUUUACAGGUAUUCUUGACAAACUCUGCAAAUGUUUUCUUACUGGAACCGUGCCUUGAAGUCCCUGUGCUUCUGAAGGAGCAAGUUGAUGCUUGCAAAGCAGUUCUGAGCAUCUUUAGGCGCAUGAUAAUGGAACUAUCAAUGAAUAAAAAGACGUGGGAACAGAUGUUACAGAUACUCCUUAGAAUAACAGAAGCUGUGAUGCAGAAGCCAAAAGAAAACCAAAUAAACGAUACCUUCGCUCAAAGCAUGUCAGGAUUACUUUUCCGAACCCUCAUUGUAGCCUGGAUCAGAGCAAACCUGAGCGUUUACAUUUCUCGGGAGCUGUGGGAUGAGCUGCUCAGUGUUCUGUCUGCCCUGACAGACUGGGAGGAGCUCAUAAACGAGUGGGCCAAUAUCAUGGACUCUCUAACAGCAGUGCUAGCAAGAACUGUGUAUGGGGUGGAAAUGACAAACUUACCCUUGGAUAAGCUCAGUGAACAAAAAGAAAAAAAGCAGAGGGGAAAAGGUGGCAUUUUAGAGCCUCAGAAAACAGCUGUAGUGGGAAGAUCUUUUUCAUUAAGCUGGAAGAGUCAUCCUGAAGUUGUGGAGCCAAUGAGAUUCAGAAGUGCUACAACCUCUGGAGCCCCAGGAGUUGAGAAAGCAAGAAAUAUUGUUCGUCAAAGAGCAACAGCUAAGCGGAGCCAGUCUAUCACCAACUGUGCUCAUCUUUAUGAGGCUUUGCCAGCUACUAAAAGUGUACCUCUUCUGCUUCACACUGUGAGCUCUCUCUUACCUGGUAUCUCUUACACUUCUUGCUCUCACAGACUGUCAGAAGUUGAAGAAUCUCAACAACUGGAAAAUUCGACAGGAACAGAAGCUACAGGCCUGUUUGCAGACCAAGAGCAGCAGCUAACCCGAAGUAGCAGCACUUCAGAUAUUGCAGAUCAGUUUCCAUCUGAUUUUUUUCAAGUUCUACUUUUGCUCCUACAAUGUAAAAAGGCAGGGAGUUCUCAUAAUUUAACUUCUUCAGACUCCAGAUCACUACAGGAAAAUAAGGGAUAUACAAAGAAGGAACAUGAAGCUGAGCAAGUACUGAUGCAAAGAAGCAGUAGUACAGCUGAAUUAGAUUUGAAAGCAGACUUGCAGCAAGCACAUGGAAAUUAUAGAGAGAGAGAAAAAAGUGAAAGUGUCAGCAGUGACACAUCUGUUGGCUACAACAAUGAAGUGGAGAUUGCACUUAUCCCCUGGCAAGCUUCCGAAGAAGACCAUGAAGUGACUACGUCGGCUGAUGUUUGUGUGGAUCCUGAUGCGCCUCGCUGGCUUCAGCUUAGUCCCUCAGACACUGCAAAUUUAACAGACAGUAGUGAAUUCCUUGCUGAUGACUGCAGUAUAAUUGCUGGUGGAAGCCUUAUCGGUUGGCACCCUGAUUCUGCUGCAGUGUUAUGGAGGAGGAUCUUGGGAAUUCUCGGAGAUGUGAACAAUAUACAGUCACCUAAAAUCCAUGCAAAAGUUUUUGGGUAUCUUUAUGAGUUGUGGUUUAAACUUGCAAAGAUACGGGACAACCUGGCUAUAAGUGUGGACAAUCAGUCUACCCCCUCUCCUCCUGUCUUAAUUCCUCCUCUCAGAAUUUUUGCUUCAUGGUUGUUCAAGGCAACCACCCUGCCAGAUGAGUAUAAGGAAGGCAAACUUCAAGCAUACAGGCUGAUCUGUGCUAUGAUGACCAGGCGCCAAGAUGUUCUACCAAAUUCUGAUUUCCUGGUUCAUUUUUAUUUUGUGAUGCACCUUGGAUUAACAAGUGAAGACCAGGAUAUUUUAAAUACUGUCAUAAAGCACUGCCCGCCUUGGUUUUUCUUCCUGGGCUUACCUGGCUUCACGAUGCUGAUUGGAGACUUCAUCUCAGCGGCAGCCAGGGUGCUGAGCACAGACCUGCUGGAGGCUCCCCGCUCAGAAGCUCACACCAUCCUUGGUUCUCUAGUUUGCUUUCCAAAUAUCUAUCAAGAAAUCCCUCUCUUGCGGCCCAUUUCAGAAGCAGGAGAUAUCAUCGCGGGAACAUCAGACGUGAAGUGCUACCUCAUAAAUAUUUUAUUGAAGAACGCUACAGAGGAGCCAAGUGAAGCUGCAAGGUGCAUAGCCAUUUGUGGCCUUGGAGUUUGGAUAUGUGAAGAGCUAACACAGUGCACAAACCACCCCCAAGUGAAGGAGGCCAUCAAUGUCAUAGGUGUGACGCUGAAGUUUUCUAAUAAACUGGUGGCUCAGGUAGCCUGUGAUGUUCUUCAGCUGCUGGUUUCUUACUGGCAAAAGCUUCAGAAGUAUGAACCCUCUCUGUCCAGAAAAAUUACUGAAAUCCUUGUGGCCACCAUUGCAUUUCUUUUGCCGAGUGCUGAAUACUCCUCUGUGGAAGCAGAUAAAAAGUUUAUAGUUUCACUGCUGCUCUGCUUGUUGGACUGGUGUAUGGCAUUACCCAUGAAAAUGCUAUUGGAGCCAGUGUCUGCUGGUGUUCUUGAAGAUCAACAUGCAUCCAAAGCUCCUUUACUGGACUAUAUUUACAGAGUUCUGCACUGCUGUGUGAAUGGCUCCAGCACGUAUACCCAGCAAAGCCAUUACGUGCUCAGCCUGGCAGAUCUCUCCUCUAGUGAUUACGACCCGUUUUUGCCACUGGGAAAUGUCAAGAGCUCUGAGCCAGCCCAGUGCCACUCUUCCACGGAUCUGGGCAACUUGCUUACUGUGGCUGAGGAAAAGAGGAGGAGAAAUUUGGAAUUGAUACCUUUAACAGCACGGAUGGUUAUGACUCACUUGGUGAAUCACCUGAGCCACUACCCUCUCAGCGGAGGCCCUGCCAUUCUCCACAGUCUCCUUAGCGAGAACCAUGACAACUCCUAUGUGGAGUCCUCGGAGCUGUCCUCAGAGGUCUUCCGGAGUCCCAACCUGCAGCUCUUUGUGUUUAAUGACAGUACUCUGAUAUCUUACCUCCAAAUCCCUGCAGAGAAGAAGACAGACACUGAGCCAGCAGCAGCCCCCUCGAAUGUGAGGGUAAUUGUCAGAGACAUCUCAGGGAAGUACUCGUGGGAUGGCAGGAUAUUGUAUGGACCUUUGGAGGGCUGCCUCCCACGGCAGAGUGCAGCGAAUGCAUUUGUGUUCUCAGGCAACCCUGAGCACCACCUCAUUUCCCAGAAAGAUGUGGCUCAGGUGGAAGAAGGAGAAGACGCUCUCGACCAGUUGCUGGAAAAGAUCGGUAACACCAGUCCCGAGUGCCUUUUCCAUCCGCAGCGGAAGCUGAAUGAGCCAUCACCCCCACCCUUUGGUAUGAGCUGUGACCAAGAGAGUGCCAUCACUGAAGCCCUGAUGAGGCAGAGCGCCCAGGAAAGAGAGUAUAUAUUUAAGUGCAGCUCAGACUCCAGUAUGAAGGUGGCCUGUCAAGAAGAACCACGUCCUGCUGAACCUCAAGCGUCCUUUUAUUUCUGUCGGCUGUUGCUAAAUGACUUGGGAAUGAACUCCUGGGAUAGAAGAAAAAGCUUUCAUCUUCUUAAGAAAAAUUCAAAACUACUGAGAGAACUGAAAAAUCUGGAUUCCCGCCAAUGCCGUGAAACCCACAAGAUUGCAGUGUUUUACAUUGCAGAAGGACAAGAGGACAAGUGUUCAAUACUUUCCAAUGAAAGGGGAAGCCAGGCCUAUGAAGAUUUUGUUGCUGGACUGGGCUGGGAGGUUGAUCUUUCAACACAUGGUGGGUUCAUGGGCGGCCUGCAGCGCAAUGGCAGCACAGGACUGACAGCGCCCUAUUAUGCUACCUCUACUGUGGAAAUCAUUUUUCAUGUGUCCACAAGAAUGCCAUCAGAUUCAGACGAUUCACUGACCAAAAAGCUUCGUCACUUGGGAAAUGAUGAGGUUCACAUCGUCUGGUCUGAACACACCAGGAACUACCGCCGAGGCAUUAUACCCACAGAUUUUGGAGAUGUUUUAAUUGUUAUUUAUCCAAUGAAGAAUCACAUGUUUUUCAUAGAGAUAAUGAAGAAACCAGAGGUGCCAUUUUUUGGUCCUCUCUUUGAUGGAGCAAUCGUGACUGCAAAGCUGCUGCCAAGCCUCAUAUGUGCCACGUGCAUCAAUGCCAGCAGAGCCGUCAAGUCGCUCAUCCCACUCUACCAGAGCUUUUAUGAGGAAAGAGCUCUGUAUCUCGAAGCAAUAAUCCAGAACCAUAAAGAAGUAAUGACAUUUGAGGAUUUUGCUGCUCAGGUCUUUUCUCCUUCUCCCAGCUACUCCCUCGGUGGAACUGAUUAGAAUAUGUAACGGUCUCGUUACGGUAAUUGCCGCAGUCAAUUGCCUUGAAGUCUCAGUCUGGCUGCCUCCCUGCAAGCGCAAGCGCUGACCUUACUGUCGCCAUAGGAAUCGAGCUGGCAGAGCCGCCCUCGCCCACGCUGCCACGUGCCUCCAAGAGCAGAGUCUCUGGGAAGCUUCGCCGCUCCGCCAGUGCUCUCAGCAAGUCUUCCAACUGAGGUGCUGCAGGAGCUCAACUCCGGCCAAGACCUUCCAAUAAAUACGUUAUUUACUGCAAUUUUGGAUGAGCACGUGUCGAAGGAGACAGGAGGGGGGGGUUUGCUCUGUAGCACUGCAGUUCUGCAGGCAGACAGACCUGGCUGGUGCUCUCAUGUCCCCUGUGGUAUCCUCUUACCUUUCACUCCAUCAUUUCUGUCACAAGGAGAAGGAUGGGAGCUCUCACUGCUGAGGUGGCAUCGGCAGCCUCAGCACCUGCGCACAAGUACUGGUGUCACAGCAAAAGGACACAGGCCAGUACUGAAACCAGUUAUGUCAUGUAACUUUAGAGCAUUGUGUUUAGUCAUUCCGGCCAGCACUUAAUUGUCUUGUUAGGGAAUUUCGUCUCAAUAGAGGUUUUCAUGACGACCAUGUAACAAAUGUCCCCUUCCUGGAGACCGGGUGAGUGAUGGAGGUGCUCUGCAGUCUGUGUUCAGCCUUGCUCCCCAUCCAUAGUCUGUGGCCGUCCAGCACCAGUUCUGUGCAUGUAGCAAAGGAUUAGUAGUCAUCAGGUCACUGACCUGAGAUCCAGGAGGGAACUGCCUGUUCUGCAGAGUUCCAGCAUUUGCAUUGAAAUCUGUGUAACCACGGUCACCUGUCACUGCCUGUUGUGUACAAGCCUGAAGCUGAAGGUGCUCAGCAGCCAUCAGGUGCCACCUGUGGCAGAGCUGUGAUCACUGGGGAGCUGCAUCCUGGGCAGGCAGGAGGUACCCGUUAGCAGCUCCUGUGCCAGCCAGGUUUUACCUUCACAUCUUUGUGCUUACUCUAGACAGAAACCCUCUUUCCCAGCACUACCUUUGGCUUCAGGAUAUAGUGCAUGUGAUGGCUCUGUACUGUGAACUACUCAUUAGCAAAAUAAAAAUAACCAAGUUCCUUUUUGAAGAGCAAAUGCUGCACAUUUGCCAUGACUACUUCUCACCAGGGUUUGAAUAAUUAGACCUCUUAGGUAACCACCUCACCUUGUCACAGCACCAAGGAAAUAGCCUGCAACUUGAAGCAUCUCUAGUUAGAAUAAAAUAAACCUGAAGGCUGUGGAUGACGUGCAAUGUCCUCCUGGCACCCUGUGUAGUAAGCAAAGCGUGUGUUUUCAGUAGAAAAUGUAUUUCUGUCUAGGUGUAUCAUAGGUUUAUAGCUAAAAAACCCUGUAUUGUAAAAACAAACCUGAGAGACCUCUGCAACCACUCGCUGUGAAGGGGGAUGGCCAGACCCAAGGCAGAAAUCAGUCACUGCUCCACCAUGAAGGGACUCGUGGGACACACUGUGCCCAGCAGAGUGUGAGCUUCCUCCUACAACUGCUGCAGGACAUACUGGGGCUGAGGCUGGGCCCCCUGGCCAGCCUGGGCGUCCCUGGCCCGCCUGGAACACACAGCAGGACGAGGAGACAGCUGUAAAGCAAAUAAUACUGUGUUACCUUUAUUUUUUUGAUGUUUUGAGUAUCAGCAUCUGCCCAUCCUCUACUGUUGCAUCAGACCUCUCUGGCCUUCCUAAGCCUUCUCAGGUCCAGGUCACUUUCUGUUCCGUUUUUGUUUGGUUUGCUACUCAGAGUUCAAAUGCACAGCUUUGCAUGUGGUGGGAUUGAGUUGAAAGGGAGCAAAAUGCACCACUGGGCCACCAUGUUUUUUGCACUUCUACUUCUGUGUUGAUGUGCCCACGCCCAGCCCUGUGACUGCCCGGAAAAUCCCAGACAAUUGUGUCAAUACUGCCUGGAGGCAGCUCCAGGUUUGGCCGUGGGCUCUGAGGGGGUUCCUUGGCGUGGGGGCUGCCAGCUUAGCCCACAGUGCCCCUAGGCACCGGGGCUGGAGCCACUGGCACUGACCAUGGACCUGCUGGGACAUGGGCACAAUGUGGCUGACCUGCUGGGAAGAGCCUGAUUUGUGAAGGGGUUUUACUUUGAUUCUUUGCCUCACGUUUUGUUUUUUUGCUUUCUACUGAUUGUGUGUCGGUAAAGGAAAUUAGAAAAUAAAACGUAUUUUAAUUUAUUUUCUUUUCAGGACCAGAUAGGCGAGGCCAUCUUGUUCUUAAUUAUCCAAUAAAAUGGUCUGAAAUUAUUUCAAAGACAUUCUUCUGAAUAAAAGGAGACUUUUCUUGCUAGAGCAAUAUGCAUCUAUAAUUCAGGGAAGAAUUAAAACACUGAUGAUGUAAAAAACACUGAUGUAAAAAAAAAACACCCUAAAAUAUUAAUUUGUAAAAAUUCACCUGUGGUUUUGUACUGUGAACUGGACAACAAAGCUGUUCUGUCACCCCUCCCAAACUUAAUAAAUCUUAGCUGACAGCAGAAUCCUUAAAA